UGCACCUGUAAAAGGAGUGCCUCCUCCAACGUUGCCUUGCACAAACACUCCUAAAGACAGAGCAAGCAAGGAGCCCAAGGCUCGCUUCUCUCUCUGCUCACCAUCUCCCAGCUUGCUCAGCCAACACUUCCACCUAGCGGCCUGCUCCGCUCAUGCUGCAACCACCGUGGCUGUGAGAUGCGAUCCGGACUUUCUGCAGAGUCACAUUAAGCAACAUGUAAUCCUCCCUCCUUGUCCUUGGGACAGUGAAACUUGCAUGGUUCUACACACCUUCAUGCACAUUGCUGACAAUGAUGAUAGUAGUGAACAUCCUGCUGGACUUCAGUUCUUCAGUGCACUUCAUGGUAAGAUGAGUUUCCCAGUACUCAGCACUGACCUUUCUUUCACUGAGGGCUGGGGGCAGACUUUGGGCACAUCAAGAUGUGCUGCUGAUAGGAAAAUCUGUUGCUGCUUUGAUGCCUUUAUGGGGAUUAAUCAUAGGGAAUAGAGCAGUGCCAUAGGAGGAAAUGGCUUACUUCUCUGAAUUUACUGACAUCAAAUCAUUUACUUUGGACUGACCUGGGUAUGGCAGUAUUCAUCUAAUCCAUGAAAGAAGAAGCUGCACAGUGAAAAAACACCAAUGCCCCAGCACCACACCACCAGCAAAGACUAGAGUCACCAACAAGCCUAUUUGUCUGUAGUUUUUCUCCUUUCCUUCACACCCAAUUCCCACUCCUUUAAAGCAAUGUUGGGAUGAGUGAUAUAUCUGAAGCACGUUGGUGACAGAGUGGCCACCAGAAAUUGAAUUGCCACUUGUCAGUAGAUAUGACACAAAUGAUUGAGCACAAAUAUUCCUGGUUCAGUUCAACAGUAAAAUGUCUCCACUCAGAUGAGAUCCAGAAAGCCACAGAGCUACUGUAAUGUAUUUGCCUGUGCCCUUAAAUGCUGCAUGAAUAGAAGAUUCCAGCCUUCUCAUACAAGUUUUGCAUCUACAUAAACUUUUCCUAGUGUCUCCACUGUAUCAGCAGCUCUAUACAAGCUCCACAAGGCUUUGCUUGAGCUUUAAAUGUGAUUCUCUC
rnacentral:lncRNA from 1 species